rnacentral:rRNA from 1 species
UACGUAGGGGGCAAGCGUUGUCCGGAAUCAUUGGGCGUAAAGAGCGUGUAGGCGGCCCGAUAAGUCCGCCGUGAAAGUCCAGGGCUCAACCCUGGGAUGCCGGUGGAAACUGUCGGGCUAGAGUCCGGAAGAGGCGAGUGGAAUUCCUGGUGUAGCGGUGAAAUGCGCAGAUAUCAGGAAGAACACCAAUGGCGAAAGCAGCUUUCUGGGACGGUACUGACGCUGAGACGCGAAAGCGUGGGGAGCGAACAGG